rnacentral:rRNA from 1 species
AUUGAACGCUGGCGGCAUGCCUUACACAUGCAAGUCGAACGGCAGCGCGGAGCUUGCUCUGGUGGCGAGUGGCGAACGGGUGAGUAAUAUAUCGGAACGUACCCAAGAGUGGGGGAUAACGUAGCGAAAGUUACGCUAAUACCGCAUACGAUCUAAGGAUGAAAGCAGGGGACCGCAAGGCCUUGUGCUCCUGGAGCGGCCGAUAUCUGAUUAGCUAGUUGGUGGGGUAAAGGCCCACCAAGGCAACGAUCAGUAGCUGGACUGGGAGGACGACCAGCCAGACUGGAACUGAGACACGGUCCAGACUCCUACGGGAGGCAGCAGUGGGGAAGUUUGGACAAUGGGGGCAACCCUGAUCCAGCAAUGCCGCGUGAGUGAAGAAGGCCUUCGGGUUGUAAAGCUCUUUUGUCAGGGAAGAAAAGGCUGUGGCUAAUAUCCGCGGCUCAUGACGGUACCUGAGGAAUAAGCACCGGCUAACUACGUGCCAGCCGCCGCAGUAA